rnacentral:rRNA from 1 species
UACGUAGGGGGCAAGCGUUGUCCGGAAUCAUUGGGCGUAAAGAGCGCGUAGGCGGUCCGGUAAGUCAGCUGUGAAAGUCAAGGGCUCAACCCUUGAAAGCCGGUUGAUACUGUCGGGCUAGAGUCCGGAAGAGGCGAGUGGAAUUCCCGGUGUAGCGGUGAAAUGCGCAGAUAUCAGGAGGAACACCGGUGGCGAAGGCGGAUCUCUGGGCCAUUACUGACGCUGAGGAGCGAAAGCGUGGGGGAGCGAACAGG